AACAAAUUUAAGGUAUCCUUGUUAAAGAGAUCAUAUUGCCUGAUCAUGAUAGCUUGAUACUUCCACAAAUACGGCCAACAGUCAACCCCCCUUUAUCAUAAGAAAUAUGGAACUCCUGUUCUUGGGCCUCUCAUCUGAUUAUUCUCCUCUGUCUCAGUGAAGAACUUCACCUCUCUUUCCAUAUUCUCAUUAAAGCUCAAUAUAGAAGCUACAUUCCCACAACGAUAACAAUAAUUCGGAGCAGACCAUACAGUCACAAGGCCUUUAUCCUGAAACAUAUACUUGAGACCUUCUUGUACAAGUUGAUGUGCUCGGCAAACCAAAUCAAGGUUAUUAAUGUGAUUGAACUCAGAAGU
rnacentral:misc_RNA from 1 species